GAGGUAGAUAGGUUCGAGGUGGAAGUGUGGUGACACAUGGAGCUGACGAAUACUAAUCGAUCGAGGACUUAACCAAA
rnacentral:rRNA from 1 species